CGGGAUGUGGCUCAGCCUGGCUAGAGCGCCUGGUUCGGGACCAGGAGGCCGGGAGUUCGAAUCUCCCCAUCCCGA
rnacentral:tRNA from 1 species